rnacentral:rRNA from 1 species
UACGGAGGAUGCGAGCGUUAUCCGGAUUUAUUGGGUUUAAAGGGUGCGUAGGCGGACGCUUAAGUCAGCGGUAAAAUUGCGGGGCUCAACCUCGUCGAGCCGUUGAAACUGGGUGCCUUGAGUGGGCGAGAAGUACGCGGCAUGCGUGGUGUAGCGGUGAAAUGCAUAGAUAUCACGCAGAACUCCGAUUGCGAAGGCAGCGUACCGGCGCCCAACUGACGCUGAAGCACGAAGGCGUGGGUAUCGAACAGG